GUGGCCAUCACCCCUGCCCCCCUCCCUCGAGAAUCCUGGUGCCUUCUCAGAGCCAGAGACGGUUUCACAGAAGACGCUGAAGUGGAUGGAAACCCCCUUGGGGGGCAGCGGAAGCCACCCUGACAGUUGGCAGAAGGCCAAGGUGGUUUGUUGUCUGGUGGGGCGGGGCGGGGGGGGGGCGUCAGAGAAACACGGGGCGCCAGGCAGAUGUUUGGAUAAGACCCAUUGGCAGCGUGGAUGGAAUCUGAUUUCCGGUUGGAGCAGAUGUUCAGGAACGCAUGGACCCUGAAAAGCACACCCAGGAAGUCGGGGGCCAAGUCAGCAUUGACCAAGCGGCCCAUCCGCGUCCGUUGGCUCUGAAGCCUUUGUCACCAUCCGCUCGGAACUAGAAUGCUCUUUAUCUUCUCCCAGCCACGGACAGAGGGGUUCUGAACCGGUGGUUCUCAAAGUGGGGUUCCCAGACCAGCAGCAUCAACUUCCCCUGGAAAUUUAGGAGACGUGCAGACCUGUCCCAUAAUCCUGAAUGUCCUCCAGGUGACUGAUGCCCACCGAGGCUCAAGACCUGCUACAGUAGCUUAAAGAAAGGGGGAAGAGCAACAGACAUCUCUUGAGUGCCUACUGUUUUCCCUCUGCUUCACCUGUGUUGUCCUGUUGAGGCCAUACAGUGUCGCAGAGGGGUGGGGAUUAUGUCCCCCUUUCACAGACAAGAAAGCUGACCAUCAGUUGAAAUAACUUCCCUGUGUGUCCAAGCCAGAAUUCAGACCCAGGUCUGAGCCUCCUUCUGUGACCUCUGCACCCUGUUGCUGGGUUCCUCUUGGCCCAAAAUCAAGCGUAGACAGCUGAACGUAUCUGUAACUUUUGGAUCACUCUCCCAGCAUCUCCUUCGCGUGUGCAGAUAACUGAGAGUCACCAUGAUGAACCCCCCCCCCAACCCCCCAAGCCCCUCUCCUGCCUCCAUCUUGAGUUUCCCCCAGACAGGGAGAGCUCUCCGUGUGCCUGUCUGCAGGGCCCUCCUCUUCAAGGCAAGGACAGCCCCCAUGUAAGUGCCGCCCCUCCAGAAGACCCCUACUCAGGAAGGCGGGGUAGACCUCUCACCAUCGCUACCUGUCUGCACAUGCACACUGGAGAGCAGCAGUGAGUUAGGAAACUCUUUUCCAGCCUGUAAACUAGAGCCCUUGGUAGAAGGAGCCGUGGCUCCAGCCCAGAGGAGGAGGCCCACUAAGAAUGGAGGGGUUCCCAAACAAAGGGAUGAACAGAUCCGAUGCCCUUUGAAGUAAUGCGAGCACUAGAUAAAGUUCUAAGACAAACACCAGAGCCCUCUCCCCCACCCCGGGUUGAGAUGCUACCAGCUUGAGGCCGAGCAAGGGAAGUCCUUCUUUGGGAUAGAGACUUCCCUUUAUCAGGCCCUGAGGAAACAGGGCCCUGUGCUGUCCCUGCAUAUCAGGGAGCAAACCUCACUAGGGCCCGGCCCCUCCCACAUGGCAGAGAAAGAGAGCAGCUUCUGUUUCUUUUGAAUGAAAUAAAUGCACGAUACACGGAUAAGGCUUCCUGUGACAAUUUGAAAAUUUACAGAUGAAGCUGAAGCCCAUCCUCCCGCCUUGGUUUUCCCCCAAGCCACUUCCCUCUGCAGGAAGACAGCUGUCAUCAGCCUGACACUGUGGCCCCCCCUCCCCCCGCCGCUACGAGUUGGAUCCUGUUUGCGGAAGCUUGACUGUCUUCGGUCGAUGUCCUCCUGGACUCAAUAGUACCACUUACUGAGCACCUGCAAAGUGCUGGGCAUUCAGCCCGAAAUAGCACAUUCGGUCCCGUCAAGGCCUGCAAGAGGCGGGAGCUGCUAUUAUCUCCAUUUUGCAGAUGAGGAGAGUAGGGUUCGGAGAAGUGAUAGAACUGGCCUGAGGCUGCACACAACAGAAGUCCAAAAUCAGAUAUGCCUCGCGCUCGGUUCAUUGUACUGCAUGUUCCCGAGACUCAAAACAAGGGCCUUGUCUGAGCCUCUGAGUUCUCAGGAGC